rnacentral:rRNA from 1 species
GAUGAACGCUGGCGGCGUGCCUAAUACAUGCAAGUCGAGCGAACGGACGAGAAGCUUGCUUCUCUGAUGUUAGCGGCGGACGGGUGAGUAACACGUGGAUAACCUACCUAUAAGACUGGGAUAACUUCGGGAAACCGGAGCUAAUACCGGAUAAUAUUUUGAACCGCAUGGUUCAACAGUGAAAGACGGUCUUGCUGUCACUUAUAGAUGGAUCCGCGCUGCAUUAGCUAGUUGGUAAGGUAACGGCUUACCAAGGCAACGAUGCAUAGCCGACCUGAGAGGGUGAUCGGCCACACUGGAACUGAGACACGGUCCAGACUCCUACGGGAGGCAGCAGUAGGGAAUCCUCCGCAAUGGGCGAAAGCCUGACGGAGCAACGCCGCGUGAGUGAUGAAGGUCUUCGGAUCGUAAAACUCUGUUAUUAGGGAAGAACAUAUGUGUAAGUAACUGUGCACAUCUUGACGGUACCUAAUCAGAAAGCCACGGCUAACUACGUG